GUGUCUCAAAAUGUUGGGGUAGCCGCGAAAAAAGUUUCGAAAUUUAUGAAAUGGGGUGAGGGGGUUGGUUGAAACGGUGAUGGGUUGGGAGUCAAAGGGAGUGAAAGAGACACAUAGAGAGAGAGAGAGAGAGAGAGAGAAGUGUGGGAAUUAUGGGAUUGAGAAGUCAGAAAUUGCAGCUUUAGCUUUUGGUCGUGUGUUUUGUUUGUGUAGGGUGUGUAUGAGCUAGGUGCAUCUUCCGAAACUGAAGGAACAAUUAUGCAAAGUGAGGGAGACUAAAUUUAACAUUGUGGCUGGACUGCGCUAGAUCCUUUUCUCUACGAUGUGUAAUGUGUUUAGGGGAAGGGUAAAGGGAAAGCAGAGGAAAGAGAGCGAAAGCAGGUGAAACU
rnacentral:lncRNA from 1 species